rnacentral:rRNA from 1 species
UACGAAGGGGGGCUAGCGUUGCUCGGAAUGACUGGGCGUAAAGGGCGCGUAGGCGGUUCGUACAGUCAGGCGUGAAAUUCCCGGGCUUAACCUGGGGGGCUGCGUUUUGAUACGUGCGGGCUUGAGCUCGGAAGAGGGUCGUGGAAUUCCACGUGUAGCAGUGAAAUGCGUAGAGAUGUGGAGGAACACCGAUGGCGAAGGCAGCCCCCUGGGUUAACACUGACGCUCAGGCACGAAAGCGUGGGGAGCAAACAGG